UUUGGAAGUUCAAGGGCAUGGUGCUGGCACUGGCUUGGCUCUGGUAAGGGCCCUAUGGCAGAUGGCAUUACAAUGUUGAGAGCAUGUGUGAAAAGAGAUCACAUGGCGAAUCAGAGAGCAGGGAGGGCCAGUCUUGCUCCUUAAAAAAAAAAAUUUUUUUUAGUUGUCAAUUGGACCUUUCUUUGUUAAUAUGUUGAUAUAUGGUGUUGAGGAUUGAAUCCAGUGUCUCACAUUUGCUAGGCACGCACUCUGCCACUGAGCUACAACCCCAUCCCAGUCUUGCACCUUUAUAACCUUCUCUCUUGGGAACUGAACUGGUACCUCAGAAUACCCCUUCUGAGCAUGAUUUCUCAAGGCCCCACCUCUUAAGGGCCCCACAAUCCCCCCAAAUCAUCACACUGCAGACCAAGCUCCCAACGCAUGAACCCUGGGGACACUGAAACCAUAUUCAAACUACAGCUCAGCCAACAGGCUGCCAGUGCUGGGCACGUGAUGGGAGACUGGAGACUCCUGGGCCUCAGACAAAAGGCUCUGCUACUCAUGGCAUUGAGGGCACAGUGGGCUUCAUAUUGUCCUUUGCUCCCCAGGUGCUGGGAGCCAUUAGCCAAGUAGGUAUGACAAUUUCCUUGCCAGCGUACCCCAUGUUGCAGUGACAUUGAAUGUACGUGACCUUGCUCAAGGACCAAGGCAGAUUAGGGUGUUCCCGGUUUUAAGAUAAUCGUGUUUAGGGCGUUCCCGGUUUAGGUUCCAGGUUUAAGGUUUAAGAUUAUUCCUGCUGGGAAUAGGGCGUAUCCUGCUGCCUGAGUUCCCCUUGAGUUCUCACGGGAUUUAGACAAUAUAUUUUGGAGAUAGAAGCCCAGUGGAGGUGGAUUUGGGAAGAGAACGUGGAUUUGGGCAGAGAACGUGGAUUUCCCCAGAACGUGAUUGUAGACGGCUGGUGUGAGUUCGGGAAUAAAGAGUUGCUGUUUGAAUCUACAAGCUGUGUGGUGGCUCGUGAUUGUAUGCCCAGCCAGACUGCGGCAUUUGUGCCCAGCCAGACUGUGGCACCCAGGUCCUUCCGGCAACAAGGUGCUUGGAUGGCAAUAGUGGCAACUGCUAGCUGGUCCUCAUCUGGAGCUCAGGACCCCUUCCCAGCUUGUUCCUGUCAUGGGUAAGAUUUGGCUCCUGUGGUGUAGACCAGAGGUUCCUUUUUUUCUGGUGGCUGCAUCAAUGUUCUGAGUUCUUGUAGGGAAUCUUUAAAAACAUGGCUGUGGUCCUCGUGACCCCCAACCUUGCAUUUGGUGUCAGAAGUGAGGGCAGUGCUGUGGACUGUUUUUGAGUCUGUAUGUGCAUAUUUCCCAUCCUUUCAUCAUGAAAGGAUGUCAAAUCUUAUCAGAUGCUUUCUUUGUCUGUGCUUACUGAGCUUUUCAUGCCUUUUUCUCCUUUAUUACACUUCUGUGGUGAACUGUGUUGACUUUGGAAUGUGAAACCAACCAUGCAUUCCUGGAGUAAGCCCAACUUGGUUGUGAUUGAUUAUAUUUUAUCACGCUGGAUCUGAUUUGGAAUCUUAAAGUAAGCUCAUGAAAGACUAGCCUGUCCAUUUUUCUUGUUCUCUCCAAGUUUCAGCAUCAAGAUUUGGCUGACUCUAGUAUAACAAACUGGAGACUUGUAGGUGGGCAUGGUGGUCACACUGUAGCCCCAACUACUCAGUAGGCCACUGCAGGAGGAUUGCUUAGGCCUAGGAGUUCAAGCGCAGCCUGGGCAAAUAAGGAACUUUUGCUUCUUAAAAAAGAUAUUUAGGCAGGUGCAGUGAUGCAUGCCUGUAAUCACAGUGGCUCAGGAGGCUGAGGCAGGAGGAUCGCAAGCUUGAGGCUAGCCUCAAAAACUUAGCCAGACCCUCUCUCAAAAUAAAAAGGGUUAGGGACAUAGCUCAGGGGUGAAGUGUGCCUGGGUUCAAUCCCUGGUACAAAAACAUAAAAAAGGAGGAAAAAAAGAAUUAAGAUUGAUGAUGCUAUUUCUUCCACUUGGAUAGAAGAAAAAAUAAAAAGGAAAAUUUUUUUAAUAGAUUCUAGUUUUUGUGGUUAAAUUUUCCUGAACACAUUAAUUACAGUUUCCUGAAAACUUGACAACUCUGAUGUCUGUUUCUGUUAUCUGCUCCUUCGGCCCCCCCGCCCCGUUUUCCCACCUUUUUUGGUCCUGACAUGCCUUGUUAAUAUUUUAUUGAAUAUUAUUGGACACUGAGUGAAAGCAGAGUCCAGCUGCAUUGAAUACUUUUGAUCUCUGCAAAUUUGGUGGGUGGAAAAUGGCAUACAUCACUGCUCCAAUUUGCGUUGAACUUCUUGUCACCUGCUUAAGGGUGUGUGUUCUCUCCUUUGCCCACUUCUACUGGUUUGGAGUCUUGUUUUCGUGCGCAGGACCUCUGCGUAAAGGGAACUGCAUUUUCUGUGUGGGUCCGGCUACAAGCGUUUGUUUUUUACCGGACGACGGACAUGCAGAGCUCGCAAGUUCUCACAAGCUGGACUGCAGCGACCUGAGCGAGCUGGCUCCUCCGCGCCGCGCCUCCCCAAAUGUAUCCCCAACUGCGAUUCUCUGUGGUGAACUGUGUUGACUUUGGAAUGUGAAACCAACCACGCAUUCCAGCACAAUUCAGGUCCUGUCGCCCCUCUGCAUCCCGCAGGAGGAAGCUGAGUCCCUCCCGGGGCCACAAGUCCCCCUUCCCCGGAGAGGCGGGCCCCUAGCGCGGGGCACACGGCGCGGCUGUCAGCGCCUCGGGCCUCAGGUCCACUCUUGUUUCUCCACGGCGCCGGGCGAACCCGGACGUCGCGCACGGCCCUACAGCGAGCCGCCCCCGCCAUCACGAAGCCGCCACUGCUCGCUGUGCUCACGGCUUCCUUGCUGACGAGCGGGACGGGCGGCACGGGGCACCCGGGCCUCCAUACGAUAGCCCUGCAAGUCCUCAGCUACCCUCCGCCAGAGAGCUCGCGAGAAGGAGGCGCUGCGCAG
rnacentral:lncRNA from 1 species